GACGAACGCUGGCGGCGUGCCUAAUACAUGCAAGUCGAACGCUUUUUCUUUCACCGGAGCUUGCUCCACCGAAAGAAAAAGAGUGGCGAACGGGUGAGUAACACGUGGGUAACCUGCCCAUCAGAAGGGGAUAACACUUGGAAACAGGUGCUAAUACCGUAUAACACUAUUUUCCGCAUGGAAGAAAGUUGAAAGGCGCUUUUGCGUCACUGAUGGAUGAACCCGCGGUGCAUUAGCUAGUUGGUGAGGUAACGGCUCACCAAGGCAACGAUGCAUAGCCGACCUGAGAGGGUGAUCGGCCACACUGGGACUGAGACACGGCCCAGACUCCUACGGGAGGCAGCAGUAGGGAAUCUUCGGCAAUGGACGAAAGUCUGACCGAGCAACGCCGCGUGAGUGAAGAAGGUUUUCGGAUCGUAAAACUCUGUUGUUAGAGAAGAACAAGGAUGAGAGUAGAACGUUCGUCCCUUGACGGUAUCUAACCAGAAAGCCACGGCUAACUACGUGCCAGCCGCCGCUGUAA
rnacentral:rRNA from 1 species